rnacentral:rRNA from 1 species
AGUUAUAUUAAAAUUAAAAUAAUGUUAAAUAAAUACAACCUAUAUAUUAUAAUAACAUUAAUUUAUUUAUUUAAUUAUAUCAAAUAAACAUUUAUCUUAUUUAAUCUUUUUAUAAAAAUAAAAAAAAUAAAAAGAUUAAAUAAGUAGGUCAAGAUAGUGAUUCAAUACUUAAUAUAAUUUUAUUACUAACCAUUAUAUAAGAUAUAUGAAUACAUAUAUAUAUUAAUUUUAUUGGUAUGCGUUCUUAAUUUUUUUAACAAUGUGUUAUGCCGUAGCAAUAUUUCUACGAUUUUUAUUUAUUUAGUUAAUAAAUUUGUUGUUUGUGUGUUUGAGUUGUUAGAAUCUUGAGAGAAUUCUUUAUUAAUUUGAUUAAUUAUAGGCUAUAUUUGUUUAUUUACUCGGAUUUUUUUGACAAUUAAUAAAGCUUUAACAUUAUUUUUUAUAUUAUUUUUUGUUUUAUUUUAAAAGUUUUAUUCUUGCUUUGGUUUUUAUAUUACUAUAUAUUAUAUGUAAGUUUUGUUCUUAAUGUUCGUGUUGCAGUAAUUUGAAUUAAUAAUCAGAUAACUCUGGAAUUAGUAAUUGUAUUAGUAUUGACUUAUUUCGUGCCAGCAGUCGCGGUUAUACGAUAGAUGCAAUUAAAAAUUAUUGGUUAGUAGUUAAUUUAAUUUUGAAUUAAUAAUUAUUAUUUUUAAGUGAAAUUUAAAUAAUAAUAUAUAUUUCUUUUUAUGAGGCUAUUAAAUUUAUUUAUUAAACUAGGAUUAGAUACCCUAUUAUUUUAAAUGUAGUUAAUAGGGCCUGAGUAGUAUUAGUUAUGUUCUUAAAACUCAAAGAAUUUGGCGGUAUUUUAUCUUUUUAGAGGAACCUGCCCUGUUAUUGAUAGUUCACGAUUAACUUUACUUGAAUUAUUUAUUUGUAUAUCUCCGUUAUCAGGCAGUCUUGUUAAAGGUUUUAAUUGCCUAAAAAUUUGAUUAAAUUAUAUUUCAGGUCAAGAUACAGUUUAUAUUUAAGUAGAGGUGGGUUACAAUAAUUUUAUUUAGAACGGAUUUUAUAAUGAAACUUAUAAUUAAAGGUGGAUUUAAUAGUAAUAUAAAUUAUUUUUUUUGUAUGAUUUUGCUCUAAAAUGUGUACACAUCGCCCGUCGCUCUCAUUAUUAAUUAUGUUAGUUAGUUUAAAUGAGAUAAGUCGUAACAUAGUAGAUGUACUGGAAAGUGUAUCUAG